UACGGAGGAUGCAAGCGUUAUCCGGAAUGAUUGGGCGUAAAGCGUCCGCAGGUGGCUGUGUAAGUCUGCUGUUAAAGAGUCUAGCUCAACUAGAUACAAGCAGUGGAAACUACACGGCUAGAGUACGUUCGGGGCAGAGGGAAUUCCUGGUGUAGCGGUGAAAUGCGUAGAGAUCAGGAAGAACACCGGUGGCGAAAGCGCUCUGCUGGACCUUAACUGACACUGAGGGACGAAAGCUAGGGGAGCGAAUGGG
rnacentral:rRNA from 1 species